rnacentral:rRNA from 1 species
AUGAACGCUGGCUGCGUGCCUAAUACCUGCAAGUCGAGCGAACAGACGAGGAGCUUGCUCCUCUGACGUUAGCGGCGGACGGGUGAGUAACACGUGGAUAACCUACCUAUAAGACUGGGAUAACUUCGGGAAACCGGAGCUAAUACCGGAUAAUAUAUUGAACCGCCUGGUUCAAUAGUGAAAGACGGUUUUGCUGUCACUUAUAGAUGGAUCCGCGCCGCAUUAGCUAGUUGGUAAGGUAACGGCUUACCAAGGCAACGAUGCGUAGCCGACCUGAGAGGGUGAUCGGCCACACUGGAACUGAGACACGGUCCAGACUCCUACGGGAGGCAGCAGUAGGGAAUCUUCCGCAAUGGGCGAAAGCCUGACGGAGCAACGCCGCGUGAGUGAUGAAGGUCUUCGGAUCGUAAAACUCUGUUAUUAGGGAAGAACAAAUGUGUAAGUAACUAUGCACGUCUUGACGGUACCUAAUCAGAAAGCCACGGCUAACUACGUG